AUUGAACGCUGGCGGCAGGCCUAACACAUGCAAGUCGAACGAGUGGCGGACGUGUGAGUAAUGUCUGGGAAACUGCCUGAUGGAGGGGGAUAACUACUGGAAACGGUAGCUAAUACCGCAUACCAUCAGAUGUGCCCAGAUGGGAUUAGCGAGUUGGUGGGGUAACGGCUCACCAAGGCGACGAUCCCUAGCUGGUCUGAGAGGAAGACCAGCCACACUAGAACGGUGACACGGUCAAGACUCCUACGGGAGGCAGCAGUGGGGAAUAUUGCACAAUGGGCGCAAGCCGGAUGCAGCCAUGCCGCGUGUAUGAGUAAGGCUUUCGGGUUGUAAAGUACUUUCAGAGGGGAGGCGUUACCCGCAGAAGAAGCACCGGCUAACUCCGUGCCAGCAGCCGCGGUAAUUC
rnacentral:rRNA from 1 species